AGUCGUCAUCUUGCGUCCCUGACUGUUGACGUCACAUUUCAUUUAAAUGCGGCGUCGCCAUGAUAUGACGUUAGAUGUGGAGACGGUUCGUUAGCUCUCGCCUUCACCCCUCGAAAUGAGAGCUAAGUGGAGAAAGAAGCGCAUGCGCAGGCUGAAGCGCAAAAGGAGAAAGAUGAGGCAGAGGUCCAAGUGAAGCGUCCUGUCCGCUGUGUCUGUGGCAUGGCGCCACCAGCGAGAGGAGCUGGAGGACCAGAAGCUGCCCGUGUUAAUGUCUGAAGGCCUGAGGGAGGAGGUCAGCUGCAGCUGAGGAGAUGAUCCGGGCCCUGAAAGACGGCAGGCUGUUCCUCUCAGACACUAUGGACUUUCUCCACCUUAAUUCCUUUACUUUUGUCAUUUGUUGUUGUUUGUACUUUGAUUAAAGGUUUUGGUUUAUAAAAUAUA